rnacentral:tRNA from 1 species
GGAGACGUACCCAAGUCAGGUCAAGGGGACGGGUUGCUAACUCGUUAGGCGGUUCUGCCGUGCGUGGGUUCAAAUCCCACCGUCUCCGCCA